rnacentral:rRNA from 1 species
AAAUGAAUAGACGGGGGCUCACACAAGCGGUGGAGCAUGUUGUUCAAUUCGAAGCAACGCGAAAAACCUUACCUGGGUUUGACAUGCAUGUAGUUGUAUCCUGAAAGGGAGAUCAGACCGGAGUAAUCCGGCAAGCAUGCACAGGUGCUGCAUGGCUGUCGUCAGCUCGUGUCGUGAGACGUUAGGUUAAGUCCUGUAACGAGCGAAACCCCUGUCGUCUGUUGCCAUCGGGUCAUGCCGGGCACUCUGACGAGACUGCCGGUUUUAAGCCGGAGGAAGGCGGGGACGACGUCAAGUCAUCAUGGUCCUUACGCCCAGGGCUACAAACGUGCUACAAUGGUCGAUACAGAGAGUCGCAAUAUCGUGAGAUGGAGCAAAUCUUCAAAGUCGGCCCCAGUUCAGAUUGAAGGCUGAAAUUCGUCUUCAUGAAGUCGGAAUCGCUAGUAAUCGCGGAUCAGAUACGCCGCGGUGAAUCUGUUCCUGAGCCUUGUACACACCGCCCGU